rnacentral:rRNA from 1 species
GAUGUCGACUUGGAGGUUGUGCCCUUGAGGCGUGGCUUCCGGAGCUAACGCGUUAAGUCGACCGCCUGGGGAGUACGGCCGCAAGGUUAAAACUCAAAUGAAUUGACGGGGGCCCGCACAAGCGGUGGAGCAUGUGGUUUAAUUCGAUGCAACGCGAAGAACCUUACCUGGUCUUGACAUCCACGGAAGUUUUCAGAGAUGAGAAUGUGCCUUCGGGAACCGUGAGACAGGUGCUGCAUGGCUGUCGUCAGCUCGUGUUGUGAAAUGUUGGGUUAAGUCCCGCAACGAGCGCAACCCUUAUCCUUUGUUGCCAGCGGUCCGGCCGGGAACUCAAAGGAGACUGCCAGUGAUAAACUGGAGGAAGGUGGGGAUGACGUCAAGUCAUCAUGGCCCUUACGACCAGGGCUACACACGUGCUACAAUGGCGCAUACAAAGAGAAGCGACCUCGCGAGA